rnacentral:lncRNA from 1 species
GAACAGGCCAACAAGAGAAGAGGCAGAGAGGAUAAAUGCAACCUGUUCUAACAGGAAUGCAGCAGCAUACUGUUUGGAAAUUGGCCCCGCAGCGGAGCAAUAAUGCAGCCCAGGCUCAGGGUCGGUUUGUAAUCACAUUCACGCAGGUGUCAGGCACUGUGUCCACUUCAGUACCAGUGAGAGGCUCAUGCUGAAAUCUGCAGGAAUCCAGCUAUUUCAAAGAAAUUGGGAAGAAACAAGAGCUGAAAGGACUGCAGCAAUGUGCUCCCGGCUGCUGUACAUUCUUCUAGACUUUAACGCCCACUCAGAUGUCUCCCUCAUCUACAAAGCCUUCCCCAGCUGUGCUUGCACGCAAAUCGAUCCUUCUCCACACAAGACUCUCACCAUUCUAACGGAUGCAUUGCAUAUGAUUUUGCUACUAAUAAUACUGUCU